rnacentral:lncRNA from 1 species
GUUCGUUUUUCUUUUGGAAUUGGAUCAAAAAGGUGGUUGCAGGUAUUCAGAUCCUGGAAUGCUGUGAAAUGGCCCUGCUGACCUGUUGGGACAUUUUAUUGGGUGAACAUCAAAUGGUGUGUGGAGUGAAAUGAAAUUUCGAUUCAAUGUGACUGAUAGAGUUGGAAUGGUGUGGAUACUGAUGAUUCUAGUGAAUUAUGUUAUGAUGAUGCAUGGACUGUGAUGAUGUUGGUGAAGCUUGAUUUAUAAUGUAGACAAGCAGUGAUGAUACUGG